rnacentral:rRNA from 1 species
UACGUAGGGGGCAAGCGUUGUUCGGAAUUACUGGGCGUAAAGGGUUCGUAGGUGGCCACUUAAGUCAGACGUGAAAUCCCUCAGCUUAACUGGGGAACUGCGUCUGAUACUGAGUGGCUUGAGUGCAGGAGAGGAAUGCGGAAUUCCAGGUGUAGCGGUGAAAUGCGUAGAUAUCUGGAGGAACACCGGUGGCGAAGGCGGCAUUCUGGACUGUAACUGACACUGAGGAACGAAAGCCAGGGGAGCAAACGGG